CAAGUUUAGAAAUCGGACUUGAAUAUCUAUCGCUUUUCAUUACAUAUUUCACUCCUUUACACCAGAAGCAAAUGCCUGACUAUGUUAUACAAACCUUCCCAAAGGAGAAAACGCCAUUUUUUGUCUGCUACAAUUAUCUCAGCUCGUUAUGUUUUUACUUGCAUUCUUUAACAUCCUAACCAGCUGAGAUAAUUCAAUUUACAUUAUUUGGUAGGCACUUGGCAGGAAUAGAAUUGCUAGGAAUUGAGAGGGAAGAAGUGAAUAGAGACUAAAAUG